ACUAACACAAAUACAUAGACCUGUCAGCAAAACAUGAAAAAAUCAGACUGUCAACUAAAAACUGAAAUACCACUUAAGAAGAAAGUAAAAUGUAAUUUACGCGCAGCAUGUGAAAAUUUGGAAUUAAGACCAUAAAAAAGAUAAGCAUGCACAAAAUUUAAUUUCAUCCUCUUGUUCUCACAAUACAUCAUCCGCUAUCAAAAUAAGUGCACAAUAUUCCAUUGACCACA
rnacentral:misc_RNA from 1 species